GACAGAGGAUGCAAGCGUUAUCCGGAAUGAUUGGGCGUAAAGCGUCUGUAGGUGGCUUUUUUAAGUCCGCCGUCAAAUCCCAGGGCUCAACCCUGGACAGGCGGUGGAAACUACCAAGCUGGAGUACGGUAGGGGGCAGAGGGAAUUUCCAGUGGAGCGGUGAAAUGCGUAGAUCUUGGAAAAGACCACCAAUGGCGAAGGCACUCUACUGGGCCAUGACUGACACUAAGAGACGAAAAGCUAGGGGGAGCAAAAUGGGG
rnacentral:rRNA from 1 species